rnacentral:rRNA from 1 species
UCUCGCCUGCCCAGUGACUCUUUAAACGGCCGCGGUAUCCUAACCGUGCAAAGGUAGCAUAAUCACUUGUCCCCUAAAUAGGGACUAGAAUGAACGGCUAAAUGAGGACAAAACUGUCUCUUACGGGUUAGCCAAUGAAAUUGAUCUUCUAGUACAAAAGCUAGAAUAAACCCAUAAGACGAGAAGACCCUGUGGAGCUUUAAAACCAAAACCACCAAAUAUGGUUUUUGGCUUUUUAGUUGGGGCGACUUUGGAGCAAAAAAAACCCUCCAAAACAUAAACCUGUUUAUUUAGAAUAACACACCAAAAAUAACCCUAUAGACCCAGCAACAUUUUGUUGUCUGACCAAUGAACCAAGUUACCCCAGGGAUAACAGCGCCAUCCUCUUCUAGAGUCCCUAUCGACAAGAGGGUUUACGACCUCGAUGUUGGAUCAGGACAUCCCUAUAGUGCAGCCGCUAUAAAAGGUUCGUUUGUUCAACGAUUAAAGUCCUACGUGAU